rnacentral:lncRNA from 1 species
UUUUUGAGAUAAAUAUGAAAAUUUAUUAGAUAAUGGAGCAUUACUUUUGACACCCUUUAUUGGGCAUGCGCACGCAAUAGAAGAAAGACUCACACGACUCUUCAUGUUGAGAGUCCUUCUGCUGUUGGAAUUCCUGCUCAAAUGAGGGAUCCUUUCUAAAUAUCUUUUCUAUUUGAAUUUAGAUUCAAAUAAGAAAGUAUGUGGCAAAUUUUUAUGCUGAUCUGAAAGGGGAAUGGAUGCAAAAGUGACCCUUCACUGGGCACACGUGCAGG